ensembl:misc_RNA 7SK 7SK RNA
GGAUGUGAGGGUGAUCUGGCUGCGACAUCUAUUGCCCCACUGAUUGCCAGGGUUGAUUUGGCUGAUCUGGCUGGCUAGGCAGGUGUCCCCUUCCUCCUUCACUGCUCCAUGUGUGUCCCUCCCGAAGCUGUGCGCUCGGUUGAAGAGGACGGCCUUUCCCAAAUAGAGACAGAAUGGUAUUCAGUCAAGGUUAUAUGAGUAGCUGCGCUCUCCUGCUAGAACCUCCAAACAAGCUCUCAAGAUAUUUCAUGCCUGAGGCUCGGAAGCCCCAGGUUUAAUCUCUCAUAUUACCACAAGUCAGAAUUGAGCAGUGUUCUGGCAAAAU